AGUGAACGCUGGCGGCGUGCCUAAUACAUGCAAGUCGAACGGAGUGGCGCACGGGUGAGUAAUAUAUAGCUAAUCUGCCCCUUGCUGGAGGACAACAGUUAGAAAUGACUGCUAAUACCCCAUAGCAAGGGAUGAGACUAUAUCGUGUCAGCUAGUCGGUGGGGUAACGGCCUACCGAGGCUAUGACGCGGAACUGGUCUGAGAGUAGGAUCAGUCACAUGGGAACGGUGAUACGGUCCAAACUCCUACGGGAGGCAGCAGUAGGGAAUAUAGCGCAAUGGGGGAAACCCUGACGCAGCAACGAGGCUUGGAGGAUGACACUUUUCGGAGCGUAAACUCCUUUUGUUAGGGAAGCGGUACCUAACGAAUAAGCACCGGCUAACUCCGUGCCAGCAGCCGCGGUAAUAC
rnacentral:rRNA from 1 species